GACGAACGCUGGCGGCGUGCUUAACACAUGCAAGUCGAACGGAAAGGCCCUGCUUUUGUGGGGUGCUCGAGUGGCGAACGGGUGAGUAACACGUGAGUAACCUGCCCUUGACUUUGGGAUAACUUCAGGAAACUGGGGCUAAUACCGGAUAGGAGCUCCUGCUACAUGGUGGGGGUUGGAAAGUUUCGGCGGUUGGGGAUGGACUCGCGGCUUAUCAGCUUGUUGGUGGGGUAGUGGCUUACCAAGGCUUUGACGGGUAGCCGGCCUGAGAGGGUGACCGGCCACAUUGGGACUGAGAUACGGCCCAGACUCCUACGGGAGGCAGCAGUGGGGAAUAUUGCACAAUGGGCGGAAGCCUGAUGCAGCAACGCCGCGUGCGGGAUGACGGCCCUCGGGUUGUAAACCGCUUUCGCCUGUGACGAAGCGUGAGUGACGGUAAUGGGUAAAGAAGCACCGGCUAACUACGUG
rnacentral:rRNA from 1 species